GACGAACGCUGGCGGCGUGCCUAAUACAUGCAAGUCGAGCGAAGUUUUUCUGGUGCUUGCACUAGAAAAACUUAGCGGCGAACGGGUGAGUAACACGUAAAGAACCUGCCUCAUAGACUGGGACAACUAUUGGAAACGAUAGCUAAUACCGGAUAACAGUAUUUCUCGCAUGAGAGAUAUUUAAAAGUUGGUUAUGCUAACACUAUGAGAUGGCUUUGCGGUGCAUUAGCUAGUUGGUGGGGUAAAGGCCCACCAAGGCGACGAUGCAUAGCCGACCUGAGAGGGUGAUCGGCCACACUGGGACUGAGACACGGCCCAGACUCCUACGGGAGGCAGCAGUAGGGAAUCUUCCGCAAUGGGCGAAAGCCUGACGGAGCAACGCCGCGUGAGUGAAGAAGGAUUUCGGUUCGUAAAGCUCUGUUGUUAGGGAAGAAUGGAUAUGUAGUAACUAUACAUGUAAGAGACGGUACCUAACCAGAAAACCACGGCUAACUACGU
rnacentral:rRNA from 1 species